CGGAGGGAUCAUUACCGAGUUUACAACUCCCAAACCCAAUGUGAACGUUACCAAACUGUUGCCUCGGCGGGAUCUCUGCCCCGGGUGCGUCGCAGCCCCGGACCAAGGCGCCCGCCGGAGGACCAACCAAAACUCUUAUUGUAUACCCCCUCGCGGGUUUUUUUAUAAUCUGAGCCUUCUCGGCGCCUCUCGUAGGCGUUUCGAAAAUGAAUCAAAACUUUCAACAACGGAUCUCUUGGUUCUGGCAUCGAUGAAGAACGCAGCGAAAUGCGAUAAGUAAUGUGAAUUGCAGAAUUCAGUGAAUCAUCGAAUCUUUGAACGCACAUUGCGCCCGCCAGUAUUCUGGCGGGCAUGCCUGUCCGAGCGUCAUUUCAACCCUCGAACCCCUCCGGGGGGUCGGCGUUGGGGAUCGGCCCUGCCUUGGCGGUGGCCGUCUCCGAAAUACAGUGGCGGUCUCGCCGCAGCCUCUCCUGCGCAGUAGUUUGCACACUCGCAUCGGGAGCGCGGCGCGUCCACAGCCGUUAAACACCCAACUUCUGAAAUGUUGACCUCGGAUCAGGUAGGAAUACCCGCUGAACUUAAGCAUAU
rnacentral:rRNA from 1 species